rnacentral:lncRNA from 1 species
CAGUCCCCCUAUGUUAUUGGGGACAGAAUUGUGCCCAGACAAGAAAAUGAUGUUUCCCAGCCUCCCCUGCAGCUGAGUGGGGACAACCAUUGAGAGCAUCCCUGGCUCUCAAGGUGACCUGCAGGGACCAGGACCAGCAGCAGCAUCGGGAUCCUGAUAGAAAUGCAGAUUCUCAGGUCCUACCCCAGCCUUAUUCAGAAACUCUGGGCCCAGAAUUCCCUCCAGGGGAUUCUGAUGCAUGCUCCAGUGUGAGCAUUUGCAUAGCUCUCUAAAGUCUUUCCCCUGAUUGCUUAGAGCGCAUCUUUCCUCCUUGCUAACGCCCUCAAUCAGGGGUAGUCAUAGACCUGAGCAGCCUCUGCAGUUGGAAAGGUGGGCCUGGCAGGCCCUGUGGGAUCUCAGCCCUGCUAGGUAAGCCGUGGAGCUCUUCCUGGUCAGGGAGAGUGUGCAUGGGGGUCACUAGCCCCAUAGGAAACUAGAGAGAUGGAGACAGACUUAAACAGCACAAAGAAACCA